UACGUAGGGGGCAAGCGUUGUCCGGAAUCAUUGGGCGUAAGGCGCGUGUAGGCGGUCCGGUAAGUCCGCUGUGAAAGUCGGGGGCUCAACCCUCGGAUGCCGGUGGAUACUGUCGGGCUAGAGUCCGGAAGAGGCGAGUGGAAUUCCCGGUGUAGCGGUGAGAUGCGCAGAUAUCGGGAGGAACACCUAUGGCGAAGGCAGCUCGCUGGGACGGAACUGACGCUGAGACGCGAAAGCGUGGGGAGCAAACAGG
rnacentral:rRNA from 1 species